rnacentral:rRNA from 1 species
ACGGCUACCUUGUUACGACUUCACCCCAGUCAUGAAUCACUCCGUGGUAACCGUCCCCCUUGCGGUUAGACUAGCUACUUCUGGAGCAACCCACUCCCAUGGUGUGACGGGCGGUGUGUACAAGGCCCGGGAACGUAUUCACCGUGACAUUCUGAUUCACGAUUACUAGCGAUUCCGACUUCACGCAGUCGAGUUGCAGACUGCGAUCCGGACUACGAUCGGUUUUAUGGGAUUAGCUCCACCUCGCGGCUUGGCAACCCUUUGUACCGACCAUUGUAGCACGUGUGUAGCCCUGGCCGUAAGGGCCAUGAUGACUUGACGUCAUCCCCACCUUCCUCCGGUUUGUCACCGGCAGUCUCCUUAGAGUGCCCACCAUAACGUGCUGGUAACUAAGGGACAAGGGUUGCGCUCGUUACGGGACUUAACCCAACAUCUCA